rnacentral:rRNA from 1 species
UACGGAGGGUGCUAGCGUUGUUCGGAAUUACUGGGCGUAAAGCGCGCGUAGGCGGCUUUGUAAGUUAGAGGUGAAAGCCCGGGGCUCAACUCCGGAAUUGCCUUUAAGACUGCAUCGCUAGAAUCCGGGAGAGGUGAGUGGAAUUCCGAGUGUAGAGGUGAAAUUCGUAGAUAUUCGGAAGAACACCAGUGGCGAAGGCGGCUCACUGGACCGGCAUUGACGCUGAGGUGCGAAAGCGUGGGGAGCAAACAGG